CCUACGGGCGACAGCAGUGGGGAAUAUUGGUCAAUGGGCGAAAGCCUGACCCAGCCACGCCGCGUGAAGGAAGAAGGCUCUCGGGUUUUUAACCUCCUUUUACAGGGAAGUGCAGUAGACGGUACCUGUCGAAUAAGCCAUAGCUAACUACGUGCCAGCAGCUGCGUGAAUACGUAGGGGGCCAGCGUUGUCCGGAUUUACUGGGUGAAAAGGGCGUGUAGCCAGGCUGACAAGUCAGAUGUGAAAUGCGGGGGCUCAACCCCCGAACUGCGGUGGAAACUGUUGGUCUUGAGUAUCGGAGAGGCAGGCGGAAUUCCUAGUGUAGCGGUGAAAUGCGUAGAUAUUAGGAAGAACACCGAUUGCGAAGGCAGCCUGCUGGAGGGCAACUGACGGUGAGGCGCGAAAGCGUGGGGAGCGAACAGGAUUAGAUACCCCGGUAGUC
rnacentral:rRNA from 1 species